rnacentral:rRNA from 1 species
GAUGAACGCUGGCGGCGUGCCUAAUACAUGCAAGUCGAGCGAACGGACGAGAAGCUUGCUUUUCUGAUGUUAGCGGCGGACGGGUGAGUAACACGUGGAUAACCUACCUAUAAGACUGGGAUAACUUCGGGAGACCGGAGCUAAUACCGGAUAAUAUUUUGAACCGCAUGGUUCAAAAGUGAAAGACGGUCUUGCUGUCACUUAUAGAUGGAUCCGCGCUGCAUUAGCUAGUUGGUAAGGUAACGGCUUACCAAGGCAACGAUGCAUAGCUGACCUGAGAGGGUGAUCGGCCACACUGGAACUGAGACACGGUCCAGACUCCUACGGGAGGCAGCAGUAGGGAAUCUUCCGCAAUGGGCGAAAGCCUGACGGAGCAACGCCGCGUGAGUGAUGAAGGUCUUCGGAUCGUAAAACUCUGUUAUUAGGGAAGAACAUAUGUGUAAGUAACUGUGCACAUCUUGACGGUACCUAAUCAGAAAGCCACGGCUAACUACGUG